GAUGAACGCUGGCGGCGUGCCUAAUACAUGCAAGUCGAGCGAACAGACGAGGAACUUUCUCCUCUGACGUUAGCGGCGGACGGGUGAGUAACACGUGGAUAACCUACCUAUAAGACUGGGAUAAAUUCGGGAAACCGGAGCUAAUACCGGAUAAUAUAUUGAACCGCAUGGUUCAAUAGUGAAAGACGGUUUUGCUGUCACUUAUACAUGGAUCCGCGCCGCAUUAGCUAGUUGGUAAGGUAACGGCUUACCAAGGCAACGAUGCGUAGCCGACCUGAGAGGGUGAUCGGCCACACUGGAACUGAGAAACGGUCCAGACUCCUACGGGAGGCAGCAGUAGGGAAUCUUCCGCAAUGGGCGAAAGCAUGACGGAGCAACGCCGCGUGAGUGAUGAAGGUCUUCGGAUCGUAAAACUCUGUUAUUAGGGAAGAACAAAUGUGUAAGUAACUAUGCACGUCUUGACGGUACCUAAUCAGAAAGCCACGGCUAACUACGUG
rnacentral:rRNA from 1 species